UGCAGUCUCGCCUGGCUGGUCUCUUGUCUGUGCAAUGGCUGGAGACUUGGCGAGUCUGCAGAGAUUAAUCAGAAGAAGUAAAAGGCGUGACUUCUGCAGACUAUGUAGUUUCACGUGCGAUAUUCUUUCAACAUAUCGUCCUGUUUUUCACAGCGGUUAUGGUUUACCAUGUACCCUUACCAAUCUAAAAACAGGAAAAGCAAAUUGCAGGGGCAAUAAGAUAUUGUCUGACAGGACAAGAACACUGUCUAGACACUUCUACUUGCCACAAUU